rnacentral:rRNA from 1 species
UUAAGUGACUAAGCGUACAAGGUGGAUGCCUUGGCAAUCAGAGGCGAAGAAGGACGUGCUAAUCUGCGAAAAGCUUGGAUGAGUCGAUAAGAGGCGUUUAAUCCAAGAUAUCCGAAUGGGGAAACCCAGUAGAUGAAGAAUCUAUUAUCAACAAGUGAAUUCAUAGCUUGUUGAGGCAAACCGGGAGAACUGAAACAUCUAAGUACCCCGAGGAAAAGAAAUCAACCGAGAUUUCGUCAGUAGCGGCGAGCGAAAGCGAAAGAGCCAGUAAGUGAUAACAGUAUGGUUAGGAGAAUGUGUUGGGAAGCACAAUCAAAGAGGGUGAUAAUCCCGUAUCUUAAAACCAUAUUGUGGUACUAAGCUAACGAGAAGUAGGGCGGGACACGUGAUAUCCUGUUUGAAGAUGGGGGGACCAUCCUCCAAGGCUAAAUACUCCUGAUUGACCGAUAGUGAACCAGUACUGUGAAGGAAAGGCGAAAAGAACCCCGGUGAGGGGAGUGAAAUAGAACCUGAAACCUUGUACGUACAAGCAGUGGGAGCCUGAAAGGGUGACUGCGUACCUUUUGUAUAAUGGGUCAGCGACUUAUAUUUUGUAGCGAGGUUAACCGAAUAGGGGAGCCGAAGGGAAACCGAGUCUUAACUGGGCGAAUAGUUGCAAGGUAUAGACCCGAAACCCGGUGAUCUAGCCAUGGGCAGGUUGAAGGUUGGGUAACACUAACUGGAGGACCGAACCGACUAAUGUUGAAAAAUUAGCGGAUGACUUGUGGCUGGGGGUGAAAGGCCAAUCAAACCGGGAGAUAGCUGGUUCUCCCCGAAAUCUAUUUAGGUAGAGCCUUGAGGUGACACCUUUGGGGGUAGAGCACUGUUUCGGCUAGGGGUCCAUCCCGGAUUACCAACCCGAUGCAAACUACGAAUACCAAAGAGUGAUACUCAGGAGACACACGGCGGGUGCUAACGUCCGUCGUGGAGAGGGAAACAACCCAGACCGCCAGCUAAGGUCCCCAAGUCUAUAUUAAGUGGGAAACGAAGUGGGAAGGCUUAGACAGCUAGGAUGUUGGCUUAGAAGCAGCCAUCAUUUAAAGAAAGCGUAAUAGCUCACUAGUCGAGUCGGCCUGCGCGGAAGAUGUAACGGGGCUGAAAUAUAGCACCGAAGCUGCGGCAUCAGACGAAAGUCUGUUGGGUAGGGGAGCGUUGUGUAAGCGGAUGAAGGUUAAUCGAGAGGUUAGCUGGACGUAUCACAAGUGCGAAUGCUGACAUAAGUAACGAUAAAACGAGUGAAAAACUCGUUCGCCGGAAGACCAAGGGUUCCUGUCCAACGUUAAUCGGGGCAGGGUGAGUCGGCCCCUAAGGCGAGGCUGAAAAGCGUAGUCGAUGGGAAACAGGUUAAUAUUCCUGUACUUGGUAAAGCUGCGAUGUGGGGACGGAGUAGGUUAGGUUAGCGUGCUGUUGGAUAUGCACGUUUAAGUUGGUAGGUGGGAAGUUUAGGCAAAUCCGGACUUCCUUAACACUGAGAGAUGAUGACGAGGCUCUACGGAGCUGAAGUAACUGAUACCACACUUCCAGGAAAAGCCACUAAGCGACAGGUUUUACUAAACCGUACUGAAAACCGACACAGGUGGUCAGGUAGAGAAUACUCAGGCGCUUGAGAGAACUCGGGUGAAGGAACUAGGCAAAAUAGCACCGUAACUUCGGGAGAAGGUGCGCCGGCGUAGAUUGUAAGGGCUGGCCCCUGAAGGUUGAACCGGUCGAAGAUACCAGCUGGCUGCAACUGUUUAUUAAAAACACAGCACUCUGCAAACACGAAAGUGGAGGUAUAGGGUGUGAUGCCUGCCCGGUGCUGGAAGGUUAAUUGAUGGUGUAAUCGAAAGAGAAGCACCUGAUCGAAGCCCCAGUAAACGGCGGCCGUAACUAUAACGGUCCUAAGGUAGCGAAAUUCCUUGUCGGGUAAGUUCCGACCUGCACGAAUGGCAUAAUGAUGGCUAGGCUGUCUCCACCCGAGACUCAGUGAAAUUGAAAUCGCCGUGAAGAUGCGGUGUACCCGCGGCUAGACGGAAAGACCCCGUGAACCUUUACUAUAGCUUGACACUGAACAUUGAAUUUUGAUGUGUAGGAUAGGUGGGAGACUAAGAAGUAGGAACGCCAGUUUCUAUGGAGUCAUCCUUGAAAUACCACCCUUUAACGUUUGAUGUUCUAACGAAGAUUACGAAACGUGGUCUCGGACAGUGUCUGGUGGGUAGUUUGACUGGGGCGGUCUCCUCCCAAAGCGUAACGGAGGAGCACGAAGGUUUGCUAAUCACGGUCGGACAUCGUGAGGUUAGUGCAAUGGUAUAAGCAAGCUUAACUGCGAGACAGACAAGUCGAGCAGGUACGAAAGUAGGUCAUAGUGAUCCGGUGGUUCUGAAUGGAAGGGCCAUCGCUCAACGGAUAAAAGGUACUCCGGGGAUAACAGGCUGAUACCGCCCAAGAGUUCAUAUCGACGGCGGUGUUUGGCACCUCGAUGUCGGCUCAUCACAUCCUGGGGCUGAAGUAGGUCCCAAGGGUAUGGCUGUUCGCCAUUUAAAGUGGUACGCGAGCUGGGUUUAGAACGUCGUGAGACAGUUCGGUCCCUAUCUGCCGUGGGCGUUGGAGAAUUGGUUGGGGCUGCUCCUAGUACGAGAGGACCGGAGUGGACGCACCACUGGUGUUCCGGUUGUGUCGCCAGACGCAUUGCCGGGUAGCUAAGUGCGGAAGAGAUAAGUGCUGAAAGCAUCUAAGCACGAAACUUGCCAAGAGAUGAGUUCUCCCAAUCUAAGAGAUAGUAAGGGUUGUUGUAGACUACGACGUAGAUAGGCAGGGUGUGUAAGUGAUGUGAGUCAUUGAGCUAACCUGUACUAAUUGCCCGAGAGGCUUAACUAU